rnacentral:lncRNA from 1 species
GAUGCGGUCCUGCAGGAGCGUCUGCUAAAUUUGAUUUAUGAUAUUUUUCACAGUAUGAGAUAUUUCAUGGUUUUAAAUGCUGGAUGGACUCUGCAUAAUGAUUAAAGAAUUGAAAACUUUUCAUGGUUGGGUAAAAGGUAACUGGCGAUUGUACCACAAGAUGAAGCCUGCAAAUACCACUGCAAAGGGUUCUUUGUUAUUUUUCCUUUGGAAAUUGAUUCGGUGCAUGUGCUUACACAACUUAUCAGCCGUUGGGUUGAAAUCUUUCGUCUGAGCCAACAGUUGACAAUUCGAUGCAAAUGAAAGUUCAUGUGACAGAAUCAUUUCCUUUUAAGUUAACCCGUUCUUUUACUGAAAGCAUGCCUAAUGGUGAUAAAAUUCUGAUUUGAGAGAAAAUGAAAAACUGCAUUCUUUUUAUGAGCUGGAUUAACUAACUUACCAAAAUAAGUUACAGCUCAAAGGAACUUCUAGAAGCUCCUACUGAUAACCCUCUACAACCACAAGCUGUUCAGUGGAUUGCUUCAUCCUUGAUUAUUAAACUUUUGCUUUUUGUUCCCUCCACUCACAUACCCUUUAUUUGCUUCUUUUAAGAUGGCAUAUAUGGCCUUGUUGUCUCUCUUCUCUAGUUAGUUUGCUGAGAAAGAAAUAGACCAUUCAAUAUCUUUCCAGAUUCCAAUUCAACUGGAUCACUACGUGAUCUUAGCCCGGAUUUUUAGAGUUUAUGCCUUCAAUAUAUUCCUCGGAUUCCUGCAAAAUAUAGCAUCGGUAUAGAUCUGAGAGCUGAUGCAAAGUAAUUUAUAACUGAAUUUCCAAGUUAAGGAUACCUUAUAACAGACCUUUUUACGUUGAUUAUUAGAUAUCCAAUUUGGUAAAUGAUUGUCUGGUUCAUCUCUUUAUAUUUGGUGGUACUCAGCUUUUGCCAGAUGGAGUUUGUGUAUGAAUUCUAGGAUCCCUGUUGAUGAGAUCUGUAUCACGCAAUUAAUGUAGGAAAUUGUUUAGUUUAACACUUGCUUUGCAUUUCCAGUGAAAACGUCUGUGCAGAGUUGAUGCUACUGCCACUUUUUGCAUAGAAAGACAACACAGGAUAGUUUAUCUGCCUAGUUUUUUCUUUUUUCUUUUUCCUUUUCUCUUUUCAUUGUUUUUUGAAACAUAAAUUUGAGUGCAUUACAGUGUGAAGUUGUUCUUGGAUUUUAGGAAACAGUGUACAACUGUGUUUCACUUGAAAGUGAGUAAACAUCUGCUUUCUGUGUGAUUGGAACAGUUUAAAGAACACAUCUUUUCGUGGACGAUCCAAUUUAUUUUGCAGAGCAGUUGAGUCGGUUAGAUCUUUGGCUUCCCUGUUCCCCUCUGAGGAUGGUCCGUUAAACAAAUCCAGCCCGAGUUUGCUAAAGCUUUACUCAGCUCAAUUCUUUUGCAGUCAUAGCCUCUUGGUAUAAAAGUUGCUGGGGAAAUGGCAAUUUUUAAUUACUACUUUAUAAAUUUGCGCAAUUUAAUGCAAA